rnacentral:rRNA from 1 species
UACGGGGGGGGCAAGCGUUGUUCGGAAUUACUGGGCGUAAAGGGCGCGUAGGCGGCCUGCUAAGUCGGAUGUGAAAUCCCUCGGCUCAACCGAGGAACUGCAUCCGAUACUGGCGGGCUUGAAUCCGGGAGAGGGAUGUGGAAUUCCAGGUGUAGCGGUGGAAAUGCGUAGAUAUCUGGAGGAACACCGGUGGCGAAGGCGGCAUCCUGGACCGGUAUUGACGCUGAGGCGCGAAAGCUAGGGGAGCAAACGGGG